rnacentral:rRNA from 1 species
AGCGAACGCUGGCGGCAGGCCUAACACAUGCAAGUCGAACGAACCCUUCGGGGUUAGUGGCGGACGGGUGAGUAACACGUGGGAACGUGCCUUUAGGUUCGGAAUAACUCAGGGAAACUUGUGCUAAUACCGAAUGUGCCCUUUGGGGAAAGAUUUAUCGCCCUUAGAGCGGCCCGCGGGUGAUUAGCUAGUUGGUGAGGUAAUGGCUCACCAAGGCUACGAUCAGGAGCUGGUCUGAGAGGAUGACCAGCCACAUUGGGACUGAGACACGGCCCAAACUCCGACGGGAGGCAGCAGUGGGGAAUCUUGCGCAAUGGGCGAAAGCCUGACGCAGCCAUGCCGCGUGGAUGAUGAAGGUCUUAGGAUUGUAAAAUCCUUUCACCGGUGAAGAUAAUGACUGUAGCCGGAGAAGAAGCCCCGGCUAACUUCGUGCCAUCAGCCGCCGUAACAC